AAAUUGAAGAGUUUGAUCAUGGCUCAGAUUGAACGCUGGCGGCAGGCCUAACACAUGCAAGUCGAACGGUAGCACAGAGAGCUUGCUCUCGGGUGACGAGUGGCGGACGGGUGAGUAAUGUCUGGGAAACUGCCUGAUGGAGGGGGAUAACUACUGGAAACGGUGGCUAAUACCGCAUAACGUCGCAAGACCAAAGAGGGGGACCUUCGGGCCUCUUGCCAUCAGAUGUGCCCAGAUGGGAUUAGCUAGUUGGUGAGGUAACGGCUCACCAAGGCGACGAUCCCUAGCUGGUCUGAGAGGAUGACCAGCCACACUGGAACUGAGACACGGUCCAGACUCCUACGGGAGGCAGCAGUGGGGAAUAUUGCACAAUGGGCGCAAGCCUGAUGCAGCCAUGCCGCGUGUAUGAAGAAGGCCUUCGGGUUGUAAAGUACUUUCAGCGGGGAGGAAGGUGUUGUGGUUAAUAACCACAGCAAUUGACGUUACCCGCAGAAGAAGCACCGGCUAACUCCGUGCCAGCAGCCGCGGUAAUACGGAGGGUGCAAGCGUUAAUCGGAAUUACUGGGCGUAAAGCGCACGCAGGCGGUCUGUCAAGUCGGAUGUGAAAUCCCCGGGCUCAACCUGGGAACUGCAUUCGAAACUGGCAGGCUUGAGUCUUGUAGAGGGGGGUAGAAUUCCAGGUGUAGCGGUGAAAUGCGUAGAGAUCUGGAGGAAUACCGGUGGCGAAGGCGACCCCCUGGACAAAGACUGACGCUCAGGUGCGAAAGCGUGGGGAGCAAACAGGAUUAGAUACCCUGGUAGUCCACGCCGUAAACGAUGUCUACUUGGAGGUUGUGCCCUUGAGGCGUGGCUUCCGGAGCUAACGCGUUAAGUAGACCGCCUGGGGAGUACGGCCGCAAGGUUAAAACUCAAAUGAAUUGACGGGGGCCCGCACAAGCGGUGGAGCAUGUGGUUUAAUUCGAUGCAACGCGAAGAACCUUACCUGGUCUUGACAUCCACAGAACUUUCCAGAGAUGGAUUGGUGCCUUCGGGAACUGUGAGACAGGUGCUGCAUGGCUGUCGUCAGCUCGUGUUGUGAAAUGUUGGGUUAAGUCCCGCAACGAGCGCAACCCUUAUCCUUUGUUGCC
rnacentral:rRNA from 2 species